UCCCUGAUGGUCUAGUGGUUAGGACUCGGCGCUUCCACUGCUGAGGGCAUGGGUUCAAUCCCUGGUCAGGGAA
rnacentral:tRNA from 1 species